rnacentral:lncRNA from 1 species
CUUUCCAUCGACUCUGUGUGAGGGAUCCGGUCACCCUUACGGUGCGUCACUAUGCUUGCGCACAACGACGGCAAGCGUUCCGACGAUUUCUAGGUCCGUACACCGUUGUUUUCGGGCGAGUACUCACUCCGAGUUGGACUACUGGUUUAGUUCUUGAAUGUCUUUGUUAACCGGAUCCAAGUUCUGUUGUGCUUUUUAUGACUAUAGUUUUAAAUUUUAUAAUAAACAUGGCUAAAGAAAUUUCAUAAAAGCGGGCACUAACUCAAUACUCCUGUCCCAACACCUAGUGACACAGAAGUGCUGCAGCAUUGACUGUUGCUCGUCGCUGCCAGUCACGGUUACAAUCCGUGUUUGAAUAUGUGCUUGUGGCCCAAACCGUCCAGUGAGUCGUGUUUCUUUCCUCAUUUGGCGCGCUUGUACUAUGUGUCUUCUUUUUCCCAACUUCUCCGGAAUCGCGCGUUUCCUUUUGAUAUCGCCUGUCUUCUUUUGUCACACAUGCUCUACGUCACCGCACGGUUUCGGAUGCUCCAGAAUGUUCUACGUCCCCACUCUAUUCGUGGAUGAUCCACGCGCCGUCUGUAGCCCUGCCUUAUGUCUACGAAUAUACAUGUGGAGAAGCCAGACUCGGUGUUUUUCAUGCCCGUCGGAUCCAAGGCGAUUUUGCUGACUGUGUUCUGCUCAUGCCACGAACACCUUUAGUGUCAUGAGUCAGCCCUUCGCUACGCGGCUAAACAGCGCUUUACACCUGCGCAUAGACCGCCACGAUUUCAAUGAACUCGAGAUUAUGGUUGCCAUCUGCUGUGCCUUCCGGGAUUUUGCUGUUAUCAGCAUAUGUGCGUAACAGGGGCAUCAGGGGUAAGCGAG